GGAGAGAAAAGAUCAGUGAGAGAAUGAAGCUUCUCCAAAAUCUUGUGCCAGGUUGCAACAAGGUGGCAGGCAAGGCUAUUAUGCUCGAUGAGAUCAUCAACUACGUGCAGUGCUUGCAGUGGCAAGUUGAGGUGAGACCCUUGCUAUAGAUAGCAAUGGAAGAUGCAGUAUACGAUGCCCUUAUCUAUCCAUUCUUAUACAAUGACUACGGUCCUGUUGAGGCAGGGAGAAUGGUGGCAUGCACUGCUGCUUGUUUGUGCCAUGCUGCAGCUCUUCGCCCAAGCAUGAGUCAAGUAUUUUGCUCAAACUCUUUCUUGUUUCUCAUUCCAUUUAUUG